rnacentral:rRNA from 1 species
GAUGAACGCUGGCGGCGUGCCUAAUACAUGCAAGUCGAGCGAACAGAUGAGGAGCUUGCUCCUCUGACGUUAGCGGCGGACGGGUGAGUAACACGUGGAUAACCUACCUAUAAGACUGGGAUAACUUCGGGAAACCGGAGCUAAUACCGGAUAAUAUAUUGAACCGCAUGGUUCAAUAGUGAAAGACGGUUUUGCUGUCACUUAUAGGUGGAUCCGCGCCGCAUUAGCUAGUUGGUAAGGUAACGGCUUACCAAGGCAACGAUGCGUAGCCGACCUGAGAGGGUGAUCGGCCACACUGGAACUGAGACACGGUCCAGACUCCUACGGGAGGCAGCAGUAGGGAAUCUUCCGCAAUGGGCGAAAGCCUGACGGAGCAACGCCGCGUGAGUGAUGAAGGUCUUCGGAUCGUAAAACUCUGUUAUUAGGGAAGAACAAAUGUGUAAGUAACUAUGCACGUCCUGACGGUACCUAAUCAGAAAGCCACGGCUAACUACGU